UGGGGUAAUUUUGGACAAUGGGCGCAAGCCUGAUCCAGCAAUGCCGCGUGAGUGAAGAAGGCCUUCGGGUUGUAAAGCUCUUUUAGUUGAAAGAAAAAUCGUGACUAAUAAUCACGAUUCAUGACGGUAUCAACAGAAAAAGCACCGGCUAACUACGUGCCAGCAGCCGCGGUAAUACGUAGGGUGCAAGCGUUAAUCGGAAUUACUGGGCGUAAAGGGUGCGUAGGCGGUUUUGUAAGUCAGAUGUGAAAUCCCCGGGCUUAACCUGGGAAUUGCGUUUGAAACUGCAAGACUAGAGUGCGGCAGAGGGAGUGGAAUUCCAUGUGUAGCAGUGAAAUGCGUAGAGAUAUGGAAGAACAUGAUGGCAAGGCAACGUCCUGGGCUAGCACUGACGCUCAUGCA
rnacentral:rRNA from 1 species